rnacentral:rRNA from 1 species
GGGCCCGCACAAGCGGUGGAGCAUGUGGUUUAAUUCGAAGCAACGCGAAGAACCUUACCAAGGCUUGACAUCCCUCUGAAGUGUGUAGAGAUAUGCAUGUAUCUUUCGAGGUACAGAGGAGACAGGUGGUGCAUGGUUGUCGUCAGCUCGUGUCGUGAGAUGUUGGGUUAAGUCCCGCAACGAGCGCAACCCUUAUGUUCAGUAGCCAGCAGGUAGAGCUGGGCACACUGGAGAGACUGCCGUGGACAACACGGAGGAAGGUGGGGAUGACGUCAAAUCAUCAUGCCCCUUAUGUCUUGGGCAACACACGUGCUACAAUGGCUCGAACAGAGUGAAGCGAAGCGGAGACGCGGAGCCAAAACACAGAAAACGAGUCUCAGUUCGGAUUGAAGUCUGCAACCCGACUUCAUGAAGUUGGAAUCGCUAGUAAUCGCGGAUCAGCAUGCCG